UACGUAGGUGGCAAGCAUUAUUCGGAAUGAUUGGGCGUAAAGCGUCCGCAGGCGGUAAGGAAAGUCAGGUAUUAAAUCUUCGGGCCCAACCCGGAGGCUGUGCUUGAAACUUCUUUACUAGAGUGUAUGAGGGGUGAGUGGUAUUCCUGGUGUAGGGGUAAAAUCCGUUGAUAUCAGGAGGAACACCAAUAGCGAAGGCAGCUCACUGGCAUACUACUGACGCUCAUGGACGAAAGCGUGGGGAGCAAAACGG
rnacentral:rRNA from 1 species